rnacentral:lncRNA from 1 species
UGAUUCUUAAAUUAUGGGGCAGAGUUUUACUAAAAUACUAUCAAUAGUAAGUAAUUCGAUUUACUUUCGAUAAUAGUGUUUCUAAAUCCACGAUCGGUAUCGUUGAAUAUUAUUCGAAUCAUUUAAAAUCAUCUAGAAAUCAAAUUAUAUAGAUUUUAUUUUAAAUAGUUUAAAAAAGCAAAAAUUUAGUUGAAUUGGACUUCUCUAUAUUGUAAAACGAGCAAAUGCAACGUAUCGGCCAUUUAGUUGAAUUUUGUGACUCUUUAAUCGUUUGAUUAGUGAUGUCGAGAAAAUAUAAAAUUUAAUUUUUUGACUGUUUAAAUAUUUUAAUUAUAUUUAACAGUGUCAAUCGUCGAUUUGAAAAUUCUAUUAUCGAAAAUAAAUUAAAAAUAAAUCGAACAGUUUAUUACGGAUAGUAGUCCGACAAACUCAAAAUUUGAUCUUAAAACUUUUAUUUAUUAAACUCAUCUGAUUUGAUCUUUUAGAUAUAUACAGAAGUUCGAAUUUUUUCCAACAAUAUAGCUCACAAAUGCAAUACCUACCGCCUGCUCUAUA